rnacentral:rRNA from 1 species
GAUUAAGCUAUUAAGAGUAUGUGGUGGAUGAAUUGGCAUCAAGAGGCGAUGAAAGACGUUGUAGCCUGCGAUAAGCCACAGGGAGCUGGCAAACAAGCUUUGAUCUGUGGAUCUCUGAAUGGGGAAACCCAACUCUUCGGAGUUAUCGCUAUCUGAAUGUAUAGGAUAGCGAGGCGAACCUAGCGAACUGAAACAUCUAAGUAGCUAGAGGAAUAUAAAGAAACCUCGAUUCCGUCAGUAGCGGCGAGCGAAAUCGGAAUAGCCCAAACCAGUCUUCGGACUGGGGUUGCGGACACCAAUGUGGUACGGAGUAUGUUUUUGCGAAUGUUCUGGAAAGUUCAACUAUAGAGGGUGAUAGUCCCGUAGCGAGAAUAGAUACCGACCUAGGUGCACCAGAGUAGCGUCGAGCCCGUGAAACUCGGCGUGAAGCUGGAGGGUCCACCCUCCAAGGCUAAAUACUACUUGAUGACCGAUAGCGUAACAGUAGGGUGACUGAAAUUUGAAAAGUUCCCCGAUAAGGGAAGUUAAAAGUACCUGAAACCGCAUACUUACAAGCUGUGGGAGCCAUCUUCGGAUGGUGACCGCGUGCCUUUUGCAUAAUGAGCCGGCGAGUUAAUCUCUGUAGCAAGAUUAAGCCUUACCCAGGCGUAGUCGAAGCGAAAGCGAGUCUUAAAUGGGCGCUGAGUUGCAGGGAUUAGACGCGAAACCAGGUGAUCUACCCAUGGCCAGGUUGAAGGAAGGGUAAAACCUUCUGGAGGACCGCACCCGUCAACGUUGAAAAGUUGUGGGAUGAGCUGUGGGGAGGAGUCAAAGUCUAAUCAAACCUGGAGAUAUCUCGUUCUCCUCGAAAUAGCUUUAGGGCUAGCCUCGUGUUAUAGCGUAUGGGGGUAGAGACACUGAUUGAGGAUGGGGCGGCAUCGCUGUACCCACUUCAGCCAAACUCCGAAUACCAUACGCCUCUAUCACGGGAGUCAGACUGCGGGGGAUAAUCUUCGUAGUCAAAAGGGAAACAACCCAGACCGCCAGCUAAGGUCCCCAAUUCUUUCUUAGUUCUUAAGGAAGUUAGAGUGCAAAGACAGCCAGGAUGUUGGCUUAGAAGCAGCCACCAUUUAAAGAGUGCGUAAUAGCUCACUGGUCGAGGACUCUAGCGCCGAUAAUGAUCGGGAAUAAGUUAGAAACCGAAGCUGCGGAAUAUUUUAAUAUUGGUAGAGGAGCGUUGUUAUCAGCGAUGAAGCAGAACGGGCAACGUUCUGUGGAGCGGUAACAAGUGAUUAUGCCGGCUUGAGUAACGAUAAAACAGGUGAAAAUCCUGUUCGCCGAAAGUCUAAGGUUUCCUGGGGAAGGUAAAUCCGCCCAGGGUUAGUCGGAUCCUAAGGCAAGGCCGAAAGGCGUAGUCGAUGGGCAGCAGGUUAAUAUUCCUGCACCACUAUCUGCGAUUGAAGCGACGUGACGAAUUCUCGUGGUCAUGCCUCCGAAUAGACGUGGAGGUUCCCGCAAGGGCGAGGGCUUAGAACCAUAAGAUGGCGAAGAGAGUUCCCAGAAAUAGCGUUCGUGGACAAAGAUAGUGUCCGUACUAAAACUGACACAGGUAGACGUGAUGAAUAAUCUAAGGCGCUCGAGAGAACGGUUGUUAAGGAAUUAGGCAAAUUCACCCCGUAAGUUCGCGAUAAGGGGGCCCUCACUCUUCGGAGAAGGGCGCAGAGAAAAGGCUCUGGGGACUGUUUAUCAAAAACACAGGACUGUGCAAACUCGCAAGAGGAAGUAUACAGUCUGACGCCUGCUCGAUGCCGGAAUGUUAAGGAAGUAGGUUAGCUUCGGCGAAGCUUACGACUAAAGCACCGGUCAAUGGCGGCCGUAACUAUGACGGUCCUAAGGUAGCGAAGUUCCUUGUCGGGUAAGUUCCGACGCGCAUGAAUGGCGUAACCACUGGAGCACUGUCUCAACAACCGACUCGGUGAAAUAGAAGUCGCGGUGAAGAUACCGCGUACCCGCAGCAAGACGGAAAGACCCCGUGGACCUUUACUGUAGGCUGAUAUUGGCCAAGGUUUUAAACCGCGUAGGAUAGGUGGGAGGCUUUGAACCCCGGACUCUGGUCCGGGUGGAGCCGUCCUUGAAAUACCACCCUGUUUAUAAUUUUGACCUAACCUCUCUCCUUGAAUCAGGAUGAGGUACAGUGUUAGCUGGGCAGUUUGACUGGGGCGGUCUCCUCCUAAAGAGUAACGGAGGAGUGCAAAGGUUGGCUCAAUACGGUUGGAAACCGUAUUUUAGAGUGUAAGAGCAUAAGCCAGCUUUACUGCGAGACAUACUCGUCGAGCAGUUACGAAAGUAGGCUCUAGUGAUCCGGUAGUUCCGAGUGGAAGGGCUAUCGCUCAACGGAUAAAAGGUACCCCGGGGAUAACAGGCUGAUCGCUUCCGAGCGUCCAUAGCGGCGAAGCGGUUUGGCACCUCGAUGUCGGCUCGUCUCAUCCUGGGGCUGAAGGCGGUCCCAAGGGUUGGGCUGUUCGCCCAUUAAAGAGGCACGCGAGCUGGGUUCAGACCGGCGUGAGCCAGGUCGGUCCCUAUCUGCUGUGGGCGUAGCAAUAUUGAGAGGAUUCUUCUUUAGUACGAGAGGAUUAGGAAGGACGUACCCCUGGUGAGCCAGUUGGACUGCUAAGUCCACCGCUGGGUAGCUAAGUACGGCAGGGAUAACCGCUGAAAGCAUCUAAGUGGGAAGCCUCCCUCGAGAUUAGUAUUGCAUGCACACCUAGUGUGCGAGAGACCCCUUGUAGACGACAAGGUUGAUAGGUAGCAGGUGUAAGGAUAGAGAUAUCUUCAGCUGAGCUAUACUAACGGUCGAUCGCUUACUCAU